rnacentral:rRNA from 1 species
AUUGAACGCUGGCGGCAGGCCUAACACAUGCAAGUCGAGCGGAUGACGGGAGCUUGCUCCUUGAUUCAGCGGCGGACGGGUGAGUAAUGCCUAGGAAUCUGCCUGGUAGUGGGGACAACGUUUCGAAAGGAACGCUAAUACCGCAUACGUUCUACGGGAGAAAGCAGGGGACCUUCGGGGCUUGCGCUAUCAGAUGAGCCUAGGUCGGAUUAGCUAGAUGGUGGGGUAAUGGCUCACCAAGGCGACGAUCCGUAACUGGUCUGAGAGGAGUAUCAGUCACACUGGAACUGAGACUCGGUCCAGACUCUUACGGGAGGCAACAGUGGGGAAUAUUGGACAAUGGGCGAAAGCCUGAUCCUGCCAUGCCGCGUGUGUGAAGAAGGUCUUCUGAUUGUAAAGCACUGUAAGUUGUGAGGAAGGGCAGUAAUUUAAUACCUUGCUGUUUUGACGUUACCGACAGAAUAAGCACCGGCUGACUCUGUGCCAGCCGCCGCGGUAA